UCUCUCUAGCACGAACCGCUACACCCGCGCGUUCCACCUUCACAUCGAUAUCUUGAGAAGCGGGGCAGGAUUAUGGAACAGUAGUAGUGGGUUGACCCUUGAAUUCUCAUCCGUGGUGGAUCGAAUCAUCACACGAGUAUGCCCGCUAUUUUUAUUUCGUUUCUGGAACGAACACGCGCGUGUCUGUGUGGAACGAUUCGCGCGACGGACACUUUAUUUUUUUUUUUAAGAUACUCGCGCGCCUCACCUCCACGAUAUAUCACUUUCGUGUGAUCGUUUUUCGGUUUAUCGAAAGGUUUCGCCACUUUGAGAGGUGUACACUCUGCAAGGAAGAAACGUGAUGUUCCGGUAUUCGUGAAAGGAAUUCCAAGGGCACUAGUAUCUGAACCUCGAAAGGACGGUCAACGCACCAUGGUUUUCUUUGUGCGAUUCAGCCGCAUUUCUAAAUCGUUUCAACGUACAUUGAGAAGCGGCGAGUUCAAUUCUGGAGACAUGAAGAACGCCCACAGAGAAUCAGCAGCAUCUACUUUCGACAAUCCAACAUGUCUAGUAGUUUUUGUUAGGUUUGGUAGAUUAGAAGAAUGAAAAAAUUGUUAUUGAAAACUGACUAUUUUACAAGAAAUUAUUUUAAUAUCUAAACAAAAUAUUUUCUCAUCUCAGAAAUGAUUUAUACAAUUGAAAAAAAACAAAUGCAAUCAUAAUGAGAUCAUAUGCAUUUCUAACCUGCAACAGCUAUAAGGUAUAAAUUAACCUAGUAUUCCAUUAAUAACGAACAGACAAAAACUAAAAUACAAUCUGUUUUCGCGUUAACGCCUAAAGAUAGAUCACGCCUCUUCGAAAGGAAUAUAAUUACCGAUUGGAAAAGAAAAUCACAGGAUAUCCCGGAUGACGAAGCUGAAUCGAUCGUUAAAGAUGGAGAGAUUAAGUUGAAUGUUCCAAACAAAGGAUCUCGAACUGGACAAUGGCUUCUUUCCUUCUCGAUACUUCUAGUGAUCUUUGUCGCUAAAAGAGAGAGUGAA